GAGAAUACAAGACAACGUGAGGAGAUGCAGCAGCAGCUUUUUGGAGUUCAGAGCAUGUUGGCACAAUUUUUGGAAAAUCGCAAUCCACCAAAUUCUCGACAAUAGAUGGCUCAAUGGUAAUUGAUGGAUGAACUCGUGCACAAAGCUGAAUUGUACAGGACAAAUUGGCACUUUUUGUAUUUUUGGAAGGAUUAUAUAUUUUUGUAUAGAUGUAUAUAGAAAAUAUAUUUUUGGAUACACUACUAGUUAUAUUUUUGGAUGGGUGUGUAUAGAAAAUAUUUGGUAGACAACUAGUUAUAUUUUUGGGUUGAUGUACAUGGAUAAAAAUUUAAAACGUGUUUAAUUUUUAUGCUAGAUGAAAUAUGUAGUUUCGAAUUAUUUGCGGAUGUAAACUUAUAAUAGUUGCUGACUUUAAUUAAACAGGUUUAGAAAUGGUUGAUAUAUGUAUUUUGUUGAAUGUUGAUGAUUCAAUUUAUUUGUUGGUUUGAAUGA